GACGAACCGUGCGAACGUUGUUCGGAAUCACUGGGCUUAAAGGGCGCGUAGGCGGGUUCGAAAGUCUGUGGUGAAAGCCUCCAGCUUAACUGGAGAAGUGCCAUGGAUACUGCGAACCUGGAGGAGGGUAGGGGCAUCUGGAACGCUGGGUGGAGCGGUGAAAUGCGUUGAUAUCCAGCGGAACUCCGGUGGCGAAGGCGAGGUGCUGGACCCUUUCUGACGCUGAUGCGCGAAAGCCAGGGGAGCAAACGGG
rnacentral:rRNA from 1 species